rnacentral:rRNA from 1 species
UACAGAGGUCUCGAGCGUUGUUCGGAUUCAUUGGGCGUAAAGGGCGCGUAGGCGGCGGGGUAAGUCUGGUGUGAAAUCUCGGAGCUCAACUCCGAAAUUGCACUGGAUACUGCUCUGCUAGAGGGCUGGAGAGGAGAUCGGAAUUCACGGUGUAGCAGUGAAAUGCGUAGAUAUCGAUGAGGAAGACCAGUGGCGAAGGCGGAUCUCUGGACAGCUCCUGACGCUGAGGCGCGAAGGCUAGGGGAGCAAACGGG